rnacentral:rRNA from 1 species
AACGAACGCUGGCGGCAUGCCUAACACAUGCAAGUCGAACGAGACCUUCGGGUCUAGUGGCGCACGGUUGCGUAACGCGUGGGAACCUGCCCUUAGGUUCGGACUAACUCCCCGAAAGGGGUGCUAAUACCGGAUAAUGUCUUCGGACCAAAGAUUUAUCGCCUUUGGAUGGGCCCGCGUUGGAUUAGCUAGUUGGUAGGGUAAAAGCCUACCAAGGCGACGAUCCAUAGCUGGGCUGAGAGGAUGAUCAGCCACACUGGGACUGAGACACGGCCCAGACUCCUACGGGAGGCAGCAGUGGGGAACAUUGGACAAUGGGCGAAAGCCUGAUCCAGCAAUGCCGCGUGAGUGAUGAAGGCCUUAGGGUUGUAAAGCUCUUUUACCCGGGAUGAUAAUGACAGUACCGGGAGAAUAAGCUCCGGCUAACUCCGUG